GCGCAAAAGCGAUGCUCUCCAGCCCGAGUUGCCAGUUCGUUCCUCUGACUCAAGAGAAGUUCACAAUGCUUUUCUGUUGUCUUCCUGGUGUUUGAAGUGACAGUACCACUGUCGGACUAGCAGGGCCCACAGCGUGAAUUCUGCAACAACUGCAGGCAGCAGUGCCCUAUCCUCCACACCACCCACCUGCCUUUCACCAGUAUGGACACUGUUUUGCCUCUACUGUUUUUGGAAACCAGGUUUCAACAAAUAGAGAGGACCAUCUCUUGGGACCAUUCACCAAAUGAACAGGUAAAAAAUUCUUGCUUUUUUGGAAGAUGGAGAGACCUGGACCAGUUAUUCCUAUGUCUGGGGGAAUUCGAAUACCCAGGCACUGACCUACAAGAACAUUUUCACCCCUUAGGUGAAAAUAACUCAGAAAGUAUGUAAAUGACGUGCAAAAGUGGAACAAUUUUACCUGAGAAGAGUAGGAACAGAAACCCCAAGAGAUCCAAUGACAUGACCAAGAAGGCCUCUUCAGAAAGGUGAUGUGGGCCCAGAAUUACAUCACCAGCAGAGCAGCCAAGAGCAUCUUGGUGCCAGGAUGACCAAAGCCGAGAGGAAUGUAUUAUCACAGACCUCCGAGGGACUUGCCAGUGCAUUCCUUGCUGGGGGUGCUGCGAUGGGGGAGGCAGA